GAGAAAAAGAUCUCUCUAUUUUCUCUCACUCAAUUUCUCAGAUUCGCUCUCAUUCCUUCUUCUCCCUUUUCUGGUUCUCGAAGACCCUUCUUUCCUUUUAUCGGGCACGAUGUUAUAAUUACAUUGUUGUUUAAGGCACCCAGGCAUUCCAUUUUCAGAUUCCCUGUUUUUUCUUUUUUGGGUAAUGAACUUCUUCUGGCAGGAGAACUCUGAUAUGGCAUUGAAGAGGGGAUUAUCGGGUGUAGGCUAUCCUAUUGUGGUUCUCGUGUUCUGUUCCUUUCUGGGCCUGUACAGCUCUACUUCAAUUGAUCAUAAUGAUUUUUCAACCACUUCAAGUAAACAGGAGUUAGACUCGAGAGAGAGGCUUGCUUUGCAACAUAUUAAACCUUUGUUGACAACAAAGGUGUUUGAUGUCAUCAAAGCCAGUGCAGAUGACUUAGGACCUUUCAGUCUCGACUCAUUCAGAAAGAAGAAUUUGUCUGCAUUCUGGCAAUCUGUCGGUGAAGAAAGCUUGGCCAAGAGCAAUACUAAUAAUGUUGAGGGAAAUGGGCCAAAUCAGAUAGCUGCGUAUGUCAAAACGGGGAUCUCCAGAGGCAAACAGGAUGGUCUUGUAGAUGAUGAUCGUUCCCAGUUUUUGGAUGCACCUGCUACUUUGGCCAGAAGGCAAUUGAGAGAGAGGAGACGCGAAAAGCAUGAUGCUGCUUUAGUAAAACAAGAUGAUGAUGUAACUGUGAAGCUUGAAAAUGCUGCCCUUGAACGCUCUAAGUCAGUUGACUCUGCUGUGCUGGGGAAGUAUAGCAUAUGGAGGAAAGAGAAUGAAAAUGAGAAUACUGAUUCAAAGGUACGCUUGAUGCGAGACCAAAUGGUUAUGGCAAGGGUGUAUAUAAGCAUUGCAACAACGAAGAAAAAGAUUGGCUUGGCUCAAGAGUUACAGAAUCAGCUUAAAGAAAGUCAGCACGCAUUAGGUGAAGCAACAUCUGAUGCUGAUCUAACUCGCAGUGCACAUGAGAAGAUUAAAUCAAUGGGCCAAGUGCUUUCAAAAGCUAAAGAGCAGCUCUAUGACUGCAAGCUUGUUACGGGGAAGCUGAGAGCAACGCUGCAAUCUGCCGAUGAGCAUGUUAGAAGUUUGAAGAGGCAGAGCACUUUUUUGAGCCAAUUAGCUGCGAAGACCAUUCCAAAUGGUAUCCACUGCUUAUCCAUGCGUCUGACUAUUGAUUAUUACCUCCUCCCUCCUGAAAAAAGAAAGUUCCCUAGACGUGAGAAUCUGGAAAAUCCUAGUCUUUUCCAUUAUGCCCUAUUCUCUGACAAUGUUUUGGCCGCUUCAGUAGUUGUCAACUCAACUAUCAUGAAUGCUAAGGAACCAGCAAAACAUGUAUUUCAUCUUGUCACUGAUAAGUUGAAUUUUGGAGCUAUGAAUAUGUGGUUCUUGCUGAACCCUCCUGGAAAAGCUACAAUCCAUGUUGAAAAUGUCGACGAGUUCAAGUGGCUUAAUUCUUCAUACUGUCCUGUCCUACGGCAGCUAGAAUCUGCUGCUAUGAAGGAGUACUAUUUCAAGGGUGCACAUUCCACCACGCUAUCAGCUGGUUCUUCUAAUUUGAAGUACCGGAACCCCAAGUAUCUUUCAAUGCUCAAUCACCUCAGAUUUUAUCUCCCUCAGAUUUAUCCCAAAUUAGAUAAAAUCCUUUUUCUUGAUGAUGAUAUUGUUGUUCAGAAAGACCUGACGGGACUAUGGUCUGUAAAUCUUCAUGAAAAAGUAAAUGGUGCUGUUGAAACAUGUGGUCAGAGUUUUCACCGUUUUGACAAGUAUCUAAAUUUUUCAAAUCCUCAUUGCCAAAAACUUUGAUCCAAAUGCUUGCGGGUGGGCAUAUGGGAUGAACAUCUUUGAUCUGAAGGAGUGGAAGAAGAGAGAUAUAACUGGUAUUUAUCACAAGUGGCAAAACAUGAAUGAAGAUCGGGUCCUCUGGAAGCUAGGGACACUACCUCCAGGGCUAAUGACAUUUUACGGGCUUACACAUCCGCUGGAUAAGUCAUGGCAUGUUCUAGGUUUGGGUUACAGCCCAAGCAUCGAUAGGUCAGAAAUUGAGAAUGCAGCUGUGAUACACUACAAUGGGAACAUGAAACCAUGGCUAGAGUUGGCAAUGACAAAGUACAGAUCAUACUGGACCAAAUAUAUUAAGUUUGAUCAUCCAUACAUUCGCAGCUGCAAACUAGGUGAAUGAAGGAGUGAUGAAUUUUGAAAGUGCAGUUUGGUCUGCUCUGCGUGGUCACAUUUCUAUGACCGUCUUGACUGAAGAGCUCCAUAUACAGCUAUGCUCUUGUCUCCAUUGUGAAACAACCCCCCUGAUUCCUUAUUCUUUUCCUGAUUCACUUGUAUUCGAUUUUCAGUUCUGAUGUCUUCUGUCUUUUUCACCAGCAACCAAUCCUUUCUGCAUGGAGAUAUAUGAUUAGGGUGAAGGAGAGUUUGUAAUAUUCUGAUUCACAGUGUUUUCUUUGAACAAUAACUGGAGUGUAUUGUUGAAUUAUAUCGAAGCGGUUCUUGCAAGUUUAGCCACUUAGACGAUGCUGUCUUUUGCAUUUCUGGAGUUGAAGGAAUAUAGUUUUUUCUUAUGUUUCAUGAUCCUGAAGAGGAGCCUUGGCGCAAGGAUAAAAGGUGUCACUAUGUGACUAGGAGGUUACGGGUUCGUUGCGGAAACAACCUCGUGAAGAAAUGCAAGGUUAAGGCUGCGUACCUAAGACCCCAAUGUGGUCUGGCCCUUCUCGGGACCUCGUGUGUAACGGGAGCCUAGUGCACCAGAAUGCCCUUUUAUGUUUCAUGUUCCAUUAGGAGAUAUCCUCUGGAUUAGAUUUGAGGUUUGUCUUCUCAAGCUAUAUCAUAUCUUUGAUUUUUUUCCCUCUGUGCUAAAUAGAUCAUGAUAUUUUUUUCUGUGCUAAAUAUUGUGAUGUGAUUCUGAUCUAUUUAUUUCAACUUGUUACACAAGGUUAUAACUUA